CCUUCUGUCCCCGAGGCUCCGGCGGUACACUGGAAACCUGGCAGCAGGGAAUGGCUAAAUUACUUGGGAGUCUUAAAUUUUGGUCUCUGGAAACGAAUGCACGAGCGGGUUAUCGCUGGAUUACUUCUGGGGCCCCCGCCCUCCCAGAUACGCUUGCAUUUCUCUCUCUGGUGUGGGCGGACUGACUUGAGUCUAGCCAGCGAGACCAAAUGUUAGUUCUCCAUUUCAGCACUUUAGACCCUUCCUGUCAAAACUUCAGCCUUAGCCCAACCACCAAACCAGGUGGUUCAGCUGGUGGCUUUUUGACCUAUUUCCUUUCGUAUUCAUUCCUUGAAAAUUAUGGCGUUAAAAAAUGGACAAGUACUAUGUGUUGUCUAAGUACGUUCUCCACGCAUUUAUGAGGCCGCCGCGCAAGGGGACAACAGCUCAGAAUCUGGAAAACUAUGACUUUUCCUGGAAUCCUGUUCUACCUUCACGGAGAGAGGCUGGAAGAAAUGUGCAGAAACAACUGUGCAAAUCUGGCUUCCUCUCCCAAGCUUACCUGCUUUGGGCAGAAGUGGCUUUAGCUUCCCCAUACUUCAUCUCGUUUUCACAAGAAGCCACAUGUCCUUAGAGGUUUACAAACACUUCAGCUUGUAAGAUACAUUUUUGCCAGACUCAGAGGACAGGAAGAGGUAUUUUCCCCCAAAUUCCUGUGAGCUACCGAGCCUUUCUGAAUUCUCCUGGUGGGCAGUUUCUUUAAAUGCCACCGGAUUCUCAGAUUGCUUUUUCACUUGGGUAGGCAAAAGCUGUGGUACUGUUGUGGCAUUAUUUAUUACUUCAUUUUAAAGUCUUUAGCUUUUAAGGUUUUCCUUUGAAGCCUUCCUUUCAUUGAGGAAGUGAAGUGUUAGCCAAGGUAAUGAUGCAAAUGUGGCUGUUCUGUGGAUGUGUGGAGACACCAAACAGAAACAUCUCAACUCUUCAGGAAAGAGGUCCAUCUGGUGAUGUCUCUCAGUAUUGGGACCUGUUAAUUUUGUAAAUCUAAAGUAAAUUCCUUUCUGCUUUCCCGACUCAAAACUGGUUUGCUUGAAAUGCAAGGGACAGUCAUCGUCAAAUAUUCCUAACAGAGCUUGUGCCACAGGAAGGCCCGGUGUGACUCGUGGAGGUGCUAGUGAUGAACUUGCCGUUUGCCAAUUCACUGCUUCUCCUUUGGGCUCACCAGGCGGCACAUUUAGUUGGGCAGGAAGUCAGCUGCUGUUGGGGAUUCUUGGGCUAUGCCUCCGCCUCUUGGCACAUCAGGUGGUAACCUGUUACGGGUGAGAUGCCUGAGGCCUCUCAGGGGCCAGGAGCCUCUGAUCCCACGCUGACAGGGUGGGAGGCAGGCUGAUUUUCUGACCAGAUUGGGGCACCAUUUCAGCCACUGGUCACAUUCCUCGCUUCAAACUGAAAUUCAGUUUAGCUUUGAGUAUAUGGACACGUGGUGGUGGAUUCAUCUACUUGUGUUUGUUUUGACCAAAAGUUUAUUUUUCUAGUGCAUUUUCUACGUCAAAGUGGUGAAAACAUGUAAUUUUAGUAUGCAUGACUGGGUCUUAAUAAAAGUCCUGUAAGGCUA